rnacentral:rRNA from 1 species
ACCCGCUGAACUUAAGCAUAUCAAUAAGCGGAGGAAAAGAAACUAACAAGGAUUCCCCUAGUAACUGCGAGUGAAGCGGGAAAAGCUCAAAUUUAAAAUCUGGCAGCUUUGGCUGUCCGAGUUGUAGUCUGGAGAAGCGCUUUCUGUGCUGGACCGUGUACAAGUCUCUUGGAACAGAGCGUCAUAGAGGGUGAGAAUCCCGUCUUUGACACGGACUGCCAGUGCUGUGUGAUGCGCUCUCAAAGAGUCGAGUUGUUUGGGAAUGCAGCUCAAAAUGGGUGGUAAAUUCCAUCUAAAGCUAAAUAUUGGCGAGAGACCGAUAGCGAACAAGUACCGUGAGGGAAAGAUGAAAAGCACUUUGGAAAGAGAGUUAAACAGUACGUGAAAUUGCUGAAAGGGAAACACUUGAAGUCAGUCGCGUUGGCCGGAACUCAGCCUGGCUUUUGCCUGGUGUAUUUUCUGGUUGACGGGCCAGCAUCAAUUUUGACUGUUGGAUAAAGGCCAGGGGAAUGUGGCACCCUCGGGUGUGUUAUAGCCUUUGGUCACAUACAAUGGUUGGGAUUGAGGAUCUCAGCAUGCCUUUAUGGUCGGGGUUCGCCCACGUUCGUGCUUAGGAUGCUGGCGUAAUGGCUUUAAAUGACCCGUCUUGAAACACGG